rnacentral:rRNA from 1 species
AUUGAACGCUGGCGGCAGGCCUAACACAUGCAAGUCGAACGGUAACAGGAAGCAGCUUGCUGCUUUGCUGACGAGUGGCGGACGGGUGAGUAAUGUCUGGGAAACUGCCCGAUGGAGGGGGAUAACUACUGGAAACGGUAGCUAAUACCGCAUAACGUCGCAAGACCAAAGAGGGGGACCUUAGGGCCUCUUGCCAUCGGAUGUGCCCAGAUGGGAUUAGCUAGUAGGUGGGGUAACGGCUCACCUAGGCGACGAUCCCUAGCUGGUCUGAGAGGAUGACCAGCCACACUGGAACUGAGACACGGUCCAGACUCCUACGGGAGGCAGCAGUGGGGAAUAUUGCACAAUGGGCGCAAGCCUGAUGCAGCCAUGCCGCGUGUAUGAAGAAGGCCUUCGGGUUGUAAAGUACUUUCAGCGGGGAGGAAGGGAGUAAAGUUAAUACCUUUGCUCAUUGACGUUACCCGCAGAAGAAACACCGGCUAACUCCGU